GCUCUGGCUCUCCUGAGUAGGUCAGACCUGCUUUUUAUAGAGUCUCGUGGCAUUUCCUUCUCCACGCUUGUCAGAGCCACAAAUUAACAUUUGAGGAUCAUCUACCUCCCCCAGUAGAAUGUAAAUUCCACAAGGGGGGUUUGCUUUAAGGAAAGAUUUUUCUCUCAGAUGAGAAGAGAUAUAAGAAAUCUUCCUCCCUCCCUGCCUUAAUACGGUGCCAUAUGAGGCCAUGAUUAUUACUACAUCACUUGGAGCUGAGGCAGCCAUUUUGAGAUCCUGAGGGAAGAUGUCAUCAGCCUACUGCUCCACUGCCAGAGGAGAAAGCUGGAAAUACUGGAGUUAUUGGUGACGUCAGCCCUACUCUGACUUCUAACAGGUUCUAGGGUCUGAACACAGGGCCUUGUAAACACCGAGGAAGCCCUCUACCACUACCAGUAAGCCAUACCCACUAACGGAAUAAAACAUUUCUGAG
ensembl:lncRNA